CUUUAGACUCGCAUAGAGUUUAAGGCGGAAGGAG
rnacentral:ncRNA from 1 species